ACAGGUGCUGCAUGGCUGUCGUCAGCUCGUGUUGUGAAAUGUUGGGUUAAGUCCCGCAACGAGCGCAACCCUUAUCCUUUGUUGCCAGCGGUCCGGCCGGGAACUCAAAGGAGACUGCCAGUGAUAAACUGGAGGAAGGUGGGGAUGACGUCAAGUCAUCAUGGCCCUUACGACCAGGGCUACACACGUGCUACAAUGGCGCAUACAAAGAGAAGCGACCUCGCGAGAGCAAGCGGACCUCAUAAAGUGCGUCGUAGUCCGGAUUGGAGUCUGCAACUCGACUCCAUGAAGUCGGAAUCGCUAGUAAUCGUGGAUCAGAAUGCCACGGUGAAUACGUUCCCGGGCCUUGUACACACCGCCCGUCACACCAUGGGAGUGGGUUGCAAAAGAAGUAGGUAGCUUAACCUUCGGGAGGGCGCUUACCACUUUGUGAUUCAUGACUGG
rnacentral:rRNA from 1 species